rnacentral:pre_miRNA from 1 species
AACCAGUGCAGACUGGCGUGCCCCAGACAUCUCUGGGCUAGUAUCUCUUUGAGCACCUCACUCUGAAGCAUGACUAGGAGG